rnacentral:misc_RNA from 1 species
CACCACUACAUCGUCUACUGCAGCGCUGGCACGUCUCGCUCGCCUCCCCGCGCCCACACUUACGCCACGCGCUCAGCACAUUUGAUACCGAAGGGCAUUCACCUACGCUCGCCCGAUCUGCGACCCUGCCACUGGACACUUUCAUCGCUGAACAAGCCACAGGACAGGAUGGGGAAAAGCACCUCCGUGCACACCCUCAGAAGCCACCGCCGCUUCAUUACAGUGCGCACGUUGCUCCCGAUUCUCAUCUUUAUUUUCUUGUGUGGCGCUGUGAGCACGAUAUUUCUAAGCAGUCCCGAUCAAUGGACGGUUGCACGGACACGGGAGGCGACCACUUGGCCACCUAGUGGCGAACUAACCACUACCAAACCGGGUGAGCCGAGGCAGAGCAUGACCCCGACAUCGCCGAUCACGACAUCGGCACCGGCAAUCGACACCACCGCUGAGCCGACGUCAAUACCAGCGGAGCACACAAGUACGUUUGACGGCCCAGCAACACCGACGUCUGCGGCGUCUGCGAGCGCUACUGGCGCUGAGGAGAGCGGCACACUGCUUGCAGACCCGACGACGGAGACGACGAAGCAGAACCCGGCGAUGAAGGAACUGGACCGGUGGACGAAGAUGCAACUCCCUGCGGACUGGAUGGAGUGCAUUCGGCAGAACCUGCAACUCGACAAGCGCGGGCGGCCGAUGCGCGCGGUGACGGCGAUGACGGACGCUAUCCCGCUGCUGAUUACGCCGCUGACUGGCGACGUAAAGUUCUUCCCGUACUUCGUGUGCUCGAUGGACGUGGCUGUGCGGUACCAUUACGUGAUCCAGAACGAGCGUGAACCAGAUACGACGGCGGUGAUCGACGAGUUGCAGCGCCGCUUCGGCAACAGCGGGCGCUUCCUUGUUUUGCGCAACCGAUACAACCGCGGGUACUCCGGGAGUAUGAACCAGGGCUUCGAGUGGGCGCUGAAGGAGCGGACAGCGGAGGAGGUUCCGUGGGUGUUUGCGUGCGGCGUGGACGUGAUCUUCGAGCCCGGGCUGCUUGCGAACAUGGUCAAGGUUGUGCAGGAAAACACCCGCGACGAUGCUGCGAUGCUAGCCGCUCUGCGCGCGGAGGUCGAGCUAGAGGAGCGGCUUGUGCGCGAGGGUAAUUACUCCUACUACGAGCGAUGGGCGCCGCGUGGGCGUCCGCUCAAGGUGCUACGGAGCGGGUAUCCAGGCGUGCCGUUGAACGUGCGGACCGCGCCGCUGUUGCCAGACCGCAUUCGGUACAUGGUGGCGGAUGAGAACCGCGAGAGCGGGAUUGUCACCCCUGCGGAGUUGCGCAAGCGGUUCUUCGGCAACUACGUGGCGACUGUGACUCCUGUCGAGUAUGCCCUGGGCACCAUUGCGGUGACGCGGCUAGCGCUGUCGACUGUUGGGUACUUUGACGAGAACUACUUCCCCGCAUACAUGGACGACAUCGAUCUACGUUGGCGGCACUUCGCGUAUGGGUUUGGCACACUACAUGGCGAGCACAACGGCCCCGUAACUCGCUGGCACCACUACAACGCUGCGAACCUUCGCGGAAGCCCAUUUGUGGAUCCGGACCUGCAGAAGUAUGGCACAGAGGACAACUACAGCCGCCGCGCCUUCGUGAGCUAUAUCCGACGCUCUAAGGGCAUAUACGACAAGCUCAAGUACGGUCCGCGUGACGUGGACGGUGUAUGGCGUGAGGCUGUGCAGGAAGCCGAGUACAAGUACAUGCAUUUCAAUGUGUCCCACUUCCCUGCGGACACAUGGGUGCUUGAUGAGGAUGCGCGCCGAUGCAUGUUUCACCACACGUACAACUACGAGAUGCAGGCCUGGAGUAGGCCGAGCGACUGCUCCUACAAUCCGCGGACGCUGGAGGAGAGCGGCAUCCUUGGCGUGGACCAGCUGGCGAACUUCAGAUCAAUGAUUGAGGGGAAAACCUUUGAUUACCAAUGACAGCAGCAGGCGGCCGGCGAAGGCCUCGUGCGGUAGCGAACAGUAGGUAGAUGUUGCGUGACAGUAACUCCAUCGCGUAUAUUCCUUUGACGACCAUUUUUUUUUUCCUGCAAUGGGCGUUGACGUAGCUGAUGACAGAGGACACAUCAGCGUGGUGGCAGGGCGCAGUGCAUCCUCACCAUCUAUGCCCUUGCGGAAAGGAGCCAGACAGCCACCCACCUGCCAACUGCGAAACCACUGCUCGCCGGGGCGAAGCCAAGUACCUUCCACGUACGGAGGUCAGAGCGACCCACGCUGUCUGAUGUCGGCGGUCAGGGCCUCGAUGGCACGGCAUCGGAGGCGACCCGCUAUUGUGAAUCGGCUUGCGCCAUUCACAUCACAGCGAGUGUGUCAGCGUCACGAACAUAUAUCUCACCCCCACGGCCCGGAUUGUGCACUAGCGUCAAGAGCCUGCGCGCCACCGCGAGGGACAGACACAAGGAGACGAGGCGAGCGGAGCGGGGGUGGGUGUGUGCGUAGAGUUUGAGGCAAGGGCCGUUCUGAGCGAAUUGCGACGGUGCGCUACUGCAACACGUCUGUCUGAGGCUGUUUGCUACGAUGUGAUGGAUCCCUGACCGGCUGGGCAGACACGGACUCAUCUUCUACAGCCCACGGGAUACUUUAUGAAGUACCCAUGGUUGCUUUUUUUUUUUCCGGUACCCUGAAGGA